ACGUUGACAGAGGUCGGCUGGAGACGCCGACGUAACAGGCCGAGCGUCGACGCAGGGUCCGGAAAUGCUCGGGCCCGCUCGGUCACCGCGGUGGAUCCACAUCACCGCGAGCGACAUGGCAAGUGCACGACAAGACCUUGACGUCGUUCCAGGUCAGGGCAACCGCAGGUGGGGCUGAUGCAGUUUUCGGGGCUCCGCCUGAUGCAGCAGGGAUCCGCCGCACAUGUGCGGGGCCGUGAAGUCGCGUGGGCUCCGCCAUCGACGGACAGCACCGUGAGUGAUGAGUAACUGAGGAAAGGGAGGGCUGGACGCCGUUGGAUCGCCCGCCGUCAGGACGUUGUGCCAGUUCUGCGGGCGGACACACCGUGGUCCCAUCGAAGUGAGGUGGUCUCCGGUCACGCUUACGCGAUCCUCGUACCGUCCGCUGCCGUGCGCGGCAGGGUGCGGAAACGAGAACCCGACGAACCUGUCGGUAGAUGGUGUUUUCAUCCCGUAAUCCCGGGCCCCGGCGCGAUGUGCGCCGGGGCCCUCGUUCAUGACCGGAAGGGGGGCCCGCUCCGGUGACGUGCGGGCCGGCGCCACGGCCUGUGCUACGGUUC
rnacentral:sRNA from 1 species